ensembl:lncRNA
GCAGAUCCCAUGCUGGAGUUCAUCAUGCAGAUCAUCAUACCUGCAGCAAGGCCAGUAGAAACCUUUUGUUUUCUUAUAUGGAAAUGGAAUAUGGACACAGUUACUGAAACCAGCAUUACCUGUUUCUUUGGGACUGAAGGGUCUCCUGGUUCAGCCCUGCAUGAACACUUAGGAAAGACCGGUCUGUGUACUCUUCUGAAAGAUGACAGUGAGUGGGAGGAGAACCAAAGAGAAUCACCUUUCUCCAGCUUUUGCUGUGGGGCCAGGCACGCAAGUCCUCAAAGACCGCAAGACCAUGAUCAUCAGUAUCAGACCUGUGCAUUGCCAGAUUGCAGCAGGACAUGCCUGUUCCCCCUCAUCCUGUAUCUGCUGAGUGAACCAGAAUGUGUGUCAUGGCACUUAUUUCAGCUUUAUGCUUUCAUACCUGCUGGGGGGACAAACAAUUACUGAUCUGGAAUAAAGCAUCAACCCUUGGUCUGGCA